rnacentral:ncRNA from 2 species
CCAGCAUCCCCGGGGGACCGUCCAUAGACGGUUGAGAGGCGGUUGAUUGGACCGCGACCCGUUGAACCUGAUCUGGUUGAGACCGGCGUAGGGAGGGACGGCUUGUUGGAC